UCUCGUUUAAGUGGGCCUAAACCCAUUGAAGUAAUCCAACCACGCAGACUAAUUCCAAUCUCGCAGCCUGGUGUGAAAACCCAAGCCCGUAGCUAGCCCACGUCAUCCUUCUAGACAUUCUCCCACCCGCGACUUCAUUUCCGUUCCUCAACUCCUCAGAUCUCAGUUCCAGUCCCUGACUCCCUGCAGUUCGUGACAUUGCACAGCUCCCUCACGUGGCACACCAUUUUCGCUGCACCAUUGAGCACCUUUCGGACCGGACCUUCUCUCUAUCUCGCUCUCUCUCUAAUGGAUUCAAAAGGAAAUUGAGAUCCAUUAGAAAUUCAUGUAAGCUUCGGUUCGAACUUCCACGAGGACGACGACACCACGCCACCGACCAUGGACAAGUCGAGCGCGCUGGAAUAAAUCAAUCAGAUGUUCCCAUACAGAGGCAUCUUUAUCUGGUGUUGAGCCACUCAUGCAAAAGAUACACAGUGAGAUUCGUCGCGUGGAUGCUGGAAUAUUGGCAGCUGUUCGCC